rnacentral:rRNA from 1 species
AUUGAACGCUGGCGGCAGGCCUAACACAUGCAAGUCGAACGAGUGGCGGACGGGUGAGUAAUGUCUGGGAAACUGCCUGAUGGAGGGGGAUAACUACUGGAAACGGUAGCUAAUACCGCAUACCAUCGGAUGUGCCCAGAUGGGUGUAGCUAGUAGGUGGGGUACUGGCUCACCUGGGCCACGAUCCGUAGCUGGUCUGAGAGGAUGACCAGCCACACUGGAACUGAGAAACGGUCCAGACUCCUACGGGAGGCAGCAGUGGGGAAUAUUGCAAAAUGGGCGCAAGCGUGAUGCAGCCAUGCCGCGUGUAUGAAGAAGGCCUUCGGGUUGUAAAGUACUUUCAGCGGGGAGGCGUUACCCACAGAAGAAGCACCGGCUAACUCCGUGCCAGCAGCCGCGGUAAUUC